rnacentral:rRNA from 1 species
UACGAAGGGGGCUAGCGUUGCUCGGAAUCACUGGGCGUAAAGCGCACGUAGGCGGGUCCUUAAGUCAGGGGUGAAAUCCCGGAGCUCAACUCCGGAACUGCCUUUGAUACUGGGGAUCUUGAGUCCGGAAGAGGUGAGUGGAACUCCGAGUGUAGAGGUGAAAUUCGUAGAUAUUCGGAAGAACACCAGUGGCGAAGGCGGCUCACUGGUCCGGUACUGACGCCGAGGUGCGAAAGCGUGGGGAGCAAACAGG